CAGAAGGAAGUUGCAGUUGGAGGAGUAUAACACAGAAUCUACAGCAGUGGAGAUGAUAGUAUCGUCAGUAGCAGCCAUGAGACAGACUCACAGUUUCCGUGGCUGGGAGGUCUGAACGUGGGCAUCUGGCUGACUACAGCACGGCGGACGGCAGCAGAGAGGAAGCUAGCAAGAAACGCCUAGUUGGGACCUGUACAAAACUGCUGGAACAAACUUGGAAUGAAAUAAAG